rnacentral:rRNA from 1 species
GAGUUUGAUCCUGCUCAGAUUGAACGCUGGCGGCAUGCCUUACACAUGCAAGUCGAACGGUUAACGGGUCCUUCGGGAUGCCGACGAGUGGCGAACGGGUGAGUAAUAUAUCGGAACGUGCCCAGUAGUGGGGAUAACUGCUCGAAAGAGCAGCUAAUACCGCAUACGACCUGAGGGUGAAAGGGGGGAUCGCAAGACCUCUCGCUAUUGGAGCGGCCGAUAUCAGAUUAGCUAGUUGGUGGGGUAAAGGCCUACCAAGGCAACGAUCUGUAGUUGGUCUGAGAGGACGACCAGCCACACUGGGACUGAGACACGGCCCAGA